rnacentral:rRNA from 1 species
GUCCACGCCGUAAACGAUGUCUACUAGCCGCUGGGCAGCUUGACUGUUCAGUGGCGCAGCUAACGCGAUAAGUAGACCGCCUGGGGAGUACGGCCGCAAGGUUAAAACUCAAAUGAAUUGACGGGGGCCCGCACAAGCGGUGGAGCAUGUGGUUUAAUUCGACGCAACGCGAAAACCUUACCAGGUCUUGACAUCCAGAGAACCUUUCAGAGAUGAGAGGGUGCCUUCGGGAAUUCUGAGACAGGUGCUGCAUGGCUGUCGU